GAUUUAUUUAGCACCCUCUCUUCUGGGUGCUUUACCUGCACUAUGUUAUUGAAUCCUGGUAAUCCUUAUGCAAGGCAUCAUCUUCCCUCACCAUUUAUAUUUGAAGAUGAGAAAACCAAGAAGAUUCCAUCUGUCCAUCCGUCUGACUGGAAAGCAUGUGCCUUUGCAGGUGCCCCACCUUACUGUGCCUGCAUGUCAUGAUGAGCUUUCAUGUAAGGCAGGUGGGCUGGAUCUCUGCUGAAGUUUGGGAAGGCCUGCUUGAGUCAUCAAGGCUCAGGACAUAGCUCUCUGCACAGCACCUCCAUGUGAGCUCUGCCUCUCAGCAGCUCAGUUUUGCAGUUAAGACAUGGUAGCUCAGGCCCAGGAGGAAUGAAUCCUAGCUAAGGCAAUGAGCAGUUGUUCUAGCCAGGCAGGUUACUGUGUUUUUCAAGAACAGAUAUAGCUUUGUUUCUUCUCUGCAUUAAAAUAUUCUCUAAAAUAUAAGAAAAGUAAAGUAACAAAUAAUAUGAAACAGUUUUUAAAAAUGCUCUAAUCUUACCACACAGAGAAAACACUAUUAAACUUAUGCUGUAUGUUGUUCGAACAUUUUAAAAAUACAUUCACAACACACACAGAUCUAUUUUUAAUGGGAAUAUACUUAUUUUUCCACUUGAUACAUUGUAGAUGGUUUACCCAUGUUUAAAAAUGGUUCUAUAUGCUGUUAUUUUUAAUUGCCACAUAGCUGUAGUACAUUGGCUGUGCGCCCUCUGGGCUCUUGCUGGGAUCAGGUGUCUCCAUCUCUUUGAGUUUGGGUUAGGCCUUGUGAUCUGCUUAGCAAGUGCAGUAGUAGCUGGGAUGAAGCUUUUUAGUGUGGGCAACAGGCUCUCUCCAUGAAUGUUCUUUCAUGGAAGUCAUGGGUCAUUUGUGGACAGAAGUGUGAUACCGAGCCAUCUCAUAGAACACAGCUGCCCUGAACCUGCGGUGGAAUUUGCAUAAGCAAGAAAUGCAUCUUCAUUACUUUAGUCCACUGAAGUAAGGCUGUGUGCAUGUCCUCCAGAAAGGAGGGCCCAGUCUUUGGAUCCUCAGUGCCCAGCAAAAAGAUCUGCUGCAUCCUUAAAGCCUUUGACCCUUUGAUUUUCUAAUCCUUAAGUUUUUUGAUUUUUUUUUUUUUUGUGUGUGUGUAUCAUUCAUUACUCAACAGAUGGAGAACAAAACUAAGUGUCUAUAAAACUAAGUGUCUAUAUUCUUCCCAUUCUUUGAAAAUGCCACCUUAGGCUGAGCAUGUAGAAAGUUCUGCUGUGCACUUUUCCUCAAGUUAUUGGAAUUAGAGAAGUUGGAGAGCACCUUCUAAUAAGUUGGGACAUCUGCUGGCAUUGACCCAAGAGGGAGAAAGGGAAAAGGAAGAAAUAUGGUCAAGGAGAAAUGUGUUUGUUUCUUCAUCUACUUGUGUAAAAUCAGUUUGUUACUUGGGUGAUUUGGGGGCUUGUAAGUUAUUCUUGUACUUUCAUAUCUCAUUUCAUGGUCAGAUGGAGCAUCUAAUAUCUUUUGCUGCAGGAGUCCUGUCAGCUGGCCGUCUACCAAAUGAACACAAGUUGCAAGUGUGUGCUGAAAGCAUAGGCAAGCUUGUAGACACGCGCCUCAGCACAAGCACCCCUUCACUACACAUCCCCGUCACGGCCACUUCACGUGAUUCAGCUACUGCUACCGUAGUCUAGUCCACACCUUCUCAGUGAUUCCAUUAGCCCCCCCAGCCAGUCUCCCUGGUCCUGCCACUGCCCCAUCAGCCCACUCUCCACAAGACUGUUUGGGUGUGCCUCGAAUCAUGCUGUUCCACAAACCCCACACAACUCCCGUCCCAGUCACAGAAGUUCAGGUUCUGAAAUGGCUCCUCAUCAUCCCCCCAAACAUCUACUGUGGUCUCUGGAUUGCUUCUCUCUCACUACAUCACACUCCUUGUUCUGCCCUCCCAACUUUAGUAUCACAGGGAAUUUGUGCAUAUGACAUCAUGAGCCAGUGCCAGGCACAAAGUAUCUAACAAAUAAUGAUGCUUCUGUCUGUACCAUUUGGGUACUCUGUGCAUAAAUUAAAUAGAAAUCUGUGAAUUUUCUUAGGAAACAAGCUGGUAAUGGAACAGUUUGCAACCAUCACUCCUGUCCAUCUCACCUCAUGUGUCAAACUGUUGAUACACUUUCCAAAGGUUGAGGGCAGUAGAUUAUAAAUGAUGAGUACACAGUGUUGGGGAUAGGCACCAUAAAGUGUUUCUGGUCCUCCUCAAAACAUCAAACUCGAAGGAGGUCUGAUCAUCACGAGACUUUAAGAACUCUGCUUUGUUGCUUCAUGUUCACACGGGUGCCGUUGGUGGUUUUAAAAUGCUUCUGCAAAUUGCAGACCUUCCUCCUAAGUAGUAGGAUCUGUGUUCCCUCCUCCUGAAUCUGGGCCAACCAUAGUGAACUCAGUGACCCCACUGGAACAUCAGUGAUUCACUAAUAGAAUAUGGCAGAAGUGACUGUAGUGUCUAAGGUUAGAUCAGAAGAUGCCAUGCAGUUGACACCAGGUUCUCGUGGGAAGCCGGCACCUGAGACCACCAGGAGUCUGGUCAACAGCUGAGUUGUAUUCCCAGCUGAGAACCAGACUUGUGAGUGUACCAUGGAAGACAUAGCCCAGCUGAGCUUUCAGGUGGUUGCACAUCAGCUGACAACUGACUGCAAUGGCUUGAGAUGCCCCGAACAUGGACUACCCAGGUGAGCUUCUGCUAAAUUCCUCGCCAACCAAAUUGUGAAUACAAUAAAAUGAUUGUC
rnacentral:lncRNA from 1 species